rnacentral:piRNA from 1 species
UNGCCAAGGAUGGAUUAGUUUAUCUACUGU